UACGUAGGCAGCAAGCGUUGUUCGGAGUUACUGGGCGUAAAGGGUGUGUAGGCGGUCCUUUAAGUUUGUUGUGAAAUCUCCCGGCUCAACCGGGAGGGUGCGGCGGAAACUGGAGUGCUUGAGGGUGGGAGAGGUAAGCGGAAUUCCUGGUGUAGCGGUGAAAUGCGUAGAUAUCUGGAGGAACACCGGUGGCGAAGGCGGCAUCCUGGACCGGUAUUGACGCUGAUAAGCGAAAGCCAGGGGAGCAAACGGG
rnacentral:rRNA from 1 species